AUUCCGGGCUCGAAGGCUGUGCGGUCUGCCAGGAGCUGCGGCCCCGUCCGGCCCGGGCUGGCAUGGGUUGGAAUUGGAGCCUAUCCCCCAACCCGAAGGCUAACAGCAUCAUGUGGUUACUAACUGUUCCUCAUUCACCGGUUGAUGCCUCCCAGAAAAAAACGCCGCCAGCCUUCCCAGAAAGCCCCGCUGCUGUUCCACCAACAACCACUGGAGGGCCCCAAACACAGCUGUGCAUCUACACAGCUUCCCAUCACUCACACUCGACAGGUGCCCAGCAAGCCCAUUGACCACAGCACCAUCACUUCCUGGGCAUUCUGCUAGGUGCUGGGAAUCAAGAACAAGACCACUGGUCCCUACCCUCAUGAAGUUUAAAGAUAAAUAAGUUAUAUCUAGACCAGGUGUUGUGGCUUACGCCUGUAAUCCCAGCACUUUGGGAGGCUGAGGUAUCACCUGAUUUUGAUACAGCAGCAGGAAGCUUGUUCCCAGCCUACCAGAAACACCAAAACCGGGCGAGACACUCAAGUCGAAAACCUACCACCUCCAAGUUUCCACAUCUAACUUUUGAGAGUCCGCAAUCUUCCAGUUCAGAGACAUUGGGGAUCCCCUUAAUCCGAGAGUGCCCCAGUGAAUCAGAAAAGGAUGUUUCCAGAAGACCCUUAGUUCCAGUGCUCAGUCCCCAAAGCUGUGGGAACAUGUCAGUGCAGGCACUUCAGAGCUUACCUUAUGUGUUCAUUCCACCUGAUAUCCAGACCCCAGAGUCAUCGUCUGUGAAGGAAGAACUCAUUCCCCAAGAUCAGAAGGAAAACAGCCUUCUAAGCUGCACUCUUCACACUGGCACUCCUAAUAGCCCAGAGCCUGGACCUGUUCUGGUUAAAGACACCCCCGAGGACAAGUAUGGAAUAAAGGUCACAUGGAGGAGACGACAGCACCUGCUUGCUUACCUCAGGGAGAGAGGGAAGCUGAGCAGAAGCCAAUUCCUUGUGAAAAGCUGACUGCCAUCAGUAAUCUCAAUAGAAAAGAGAUAUGUUUUCUGGAGUCAUAAAGGAAUUCAAUUCCUAGGGUUUUUGUUUUUGUUUUUGAGAUGUAAUAUUGCUCUGUUGCCCAGGCUGGAGUGCAGUGGUAUGAUCUCACCUUACUGCAACCACCACUUCCUGGGUUCAAGCGAUUCUCCUGCCUCAGCCUCCCCAGUAGCUGGGAUUACAGGCACCAGCCACCAUGCCUGGCUAAUUUUUUUGUAUUUUUAGUAGAGAUGUGGUUUCUCCAUGUUGGCCAGGCUGGUCUCAAAAUCCUGACCUCAAGUCAUCUGCUGGCCUUGACCUCACAAAGUGCUGGCCCAGCCGAGAUUUGUUUUCUAAGAUACUUUGUGUCAUGAACAGUUCAGUUUAGUGUCAUGAACUAUUCACUUCAUAUUUUUCUUGUAUUAACUGUUUAAAUUUUUAAAAUAUCUUGUAGUAACUCUUUAAAAUGUAUGUAAGUAAAUGGCUGCAGAAAGUUUUUUUAGAGAAUCCUGCUUCCAUCAGUAAUACAGCAAUAUUACCCCAUCCACUAAUGGUCUUUGUUUCCUUAACCACUACUCAUUAAUCCUUAAUCACCUCAUUCAAACUAAUUCAUUCUGCAUUUUUGAGUACCAACUCUUGUCAGGCUCAGUGGCAGCUUCUACGACCUGAUGGAUGGAAAAAAAUCAAACUCUGUGACUCUAUGGUUGACUGCCACCUCUGCAACCUUGACUCAUCUGCUGAAAAGGCAAGAAGAAGAAAGGGCAGCAAGCCCUGUUUUAGGGACUACAUAAGAUGAGGGGAGAUAAGGGGGACAUAGAUGAGUUCUUUAGGAUUGCGUGUGUUUUGAGUUUUUGUUUCUAACUGAAGAAAUCUGUCAAUAUUAAAUAGGGUGGGAAAAUGGUUUCUUAGAAUAACUGUUCAACUGUGUGUAAAUAAGGAAAGUUUUCAAUGAGUAUUACUUAUUGUAAUUAAUGCAGAAGGACUUCCCCAGUCAACCGAAUGUCUCGGCCUUUUACUCAGACAAGUAGCAUCUCAUUAAACCCAUUCAUUUAGCAUUCA